AGUGAACGCUGGCGGUAGGCCUAACACAUGCAAGUCGAACGGCAGCACAGUAAGAGCUUGCUCUUACGGGUGGCGAGUGGCGGACGGGUUAGGAAUACAUCGGAAUCUACUUUUUCGUGGGGGAUAACGUAGGGAAACUUACGCUAAUACCGCAUACGACCUACGGGUGAAAGCAGGGGAUCUUCGGACCUUGCGCGAUUGAAUGAGCCGAUGUCGGAUUAGCUAGUUGGCGGGGUAAAGGCCCACCAAGGCGACGAUCCGUAGCUGGUCUGAGAGGAUGAUCAGACACACUGGAACUGAGACACGGUCCAGACUCCUACGGGAGGCAGCAGUGGGGAAUAUUGGACAAUGGGCGAAAGCCUGAUCCAGCCAUACCGCGUGGGUGAAGAAGGCCUUCGGGUUGUAAAGCCCUUUUGUUGGGAAAGAAAAGCAGCAGGUUAAUACCCCGCUGUUCUGACGGUACCCAAAGAAUAAGCACCGGCUAACUUCGUG
rnacentral:rRNA from 1 species